UAAUAGCUCACUAGUCGAGAGGUCCUGCGCCGAAAAUGUCCGGGGCUGAAACACACUACCGAAGCUUGGGAAUUGACGAAUGUUAAUUGGUAGAGGAGCAUUCUUAACGGGGCGAAGCUGUACCGGAAGGAGCAGUGGACUGUUAAGAAGAGAGAAUGCCGGAAUGAGUAGCGAGAGGAAGGUGAGAAUCCUUCCGGCCGAAUAUCUAAGGUUUCCAGAGUAAAGCUGAUCUGCUCUGGGUAAGUCGGGGCCUAAGGCGAGGUCGAAAGACGUAGUCGAUGGAUAACAGGUAAAGAUUCCUGUACUAUAUCAUAACAGAACUGUGGGGACGCAGACAGAGAGCAUAAGCCGGGAAUGGAAAAACCGGUACAAGCGAGGUAGGAGUGCAUCAGGCAAAUCCGGUGCACAAUCUGAAGACGUGAUGUGGGGCGUAAAGCCGGAAGUAUGUGAGCUGGCUGCCAAGAAAAGCCGCUAUUGUUUAUGAUAUACCCGUACCGUAAACCGACACAGGUGGAUGAGGAGAGAAUCCUAAGGCCGACGGGAGAAGCAUUGUUAAGGAACUCGGCAAAAUGACUCCGUAACUUCGGGAGAAGGAGUGCCAUGUAAAAGUGGCCGCAGAGAAUUGGCCCAAGCAACUGUUUAGCAAAAACACAGGUCUAUGCAAAACCGAAAGGUGAGGUAUAUGGGCUGACGCCUGCCCGGUGCUGGAAGGUUAAGGGGAGAGGUUAGCGCAAGCGAAGCUUUGAACUUAAGCCCCAGUAAACGGCGGCCGUAACUAUAACGGUCCUAAGGUAGCGAAAUUCCUUGUCGGGUAAGUUCCGACCCGCACGAAAGGCGUAAUGAUUUGGGCACUGUCUCGACAAUGCACCCGGUGAAAUUGAAAUACCAGUGAAGAUGCUGGUUACCUGCGCCAGGACGGAAAGACCCCAUGGAGCUUUACUCCAGCUUGAUACUGGGAUUCGGUUAUACAUGUACAGGAUAGGUGGGAGGCUAAGAAGUGAGGACGCCAGUCUUCACGGAGCCGCUGUUGGGAUACCACCCUUGUGUGACUGGGUUUCUAACCUGCAGCCGUGACCCGGCUGGGGGACAAUGUCAGGUGGGGAGUUUGACUGGGGCGGUCGCCUCCGAAAGGGUAUCGGAGGCGCUCAAAGGU
rnacentral:rRNA from 1 species